rnacentral:rRNA from 1 species
GGAAUCUUGCACAAUGGGGGCAACCCUGAUGCAGCGACGCCGCGUGAGCGAUGAAGCCUUUCGGGGUGUAAAGCUCUUUCGACGGGAACGAUUAUGACGGUACCCGGAGAAGAAGCUGCGGCUAACUACGUGCCAGCAGCCGCGGUAAUACGUAGGCAGCAAGCGUUGUUCGGAUUUACUGGGCGUAAAGAGUGUGUAGGCGGUGCACUAAGUCUGUCGUGAAAUCUCCUGGCUUAACUGGGAGGGUGCGGCGGAAACUGGUGUGCUUGAGGAUGGGAGAGGUAAGCGGAAUUCCUGGUGUAGCGGUGAAAUGCGUAGAUAUCAGGAGGAACACCUGUGGUGUAGACAGCUUACUGGACCAUAUCUGACGCUGAGACACGAAAGCGUGGGGAGCGAA